UACAGAGGGUGCAAGCGUUGUUCGGAAUUAUCGGGCGUAAAGCGCGUGUAGGCGGCUUUGCAAGUCGGGUGUGAAAGCCCUCAGCUCAACUGAGGAAGUGCGCCCGAAACUGCAGAGCUUGAGUGCCGGAGAGGGUGGCGGAAUUCCCCAAGUAGAGGUGAAAUUCGUAGAUAUGGGGAGGAACACCGGUGGCGAAGGCGGCCACCUGGACGGCAACUGACGCUGAGACGCGAAAGCGUGGGGAGCGAACAGG
rnacentral:rRNA from 1 species